AGAGUUUGAUCCUGGCUCAGAACGAACGCUGGCGGCAUGCCUAACACAUGCAAGUCGAACGAGACCUUCGGGUCUAGUGGCGCACGGGUGCGUAACGCGUGGGAAUCUGCCCUUGGGUUCGGAAUAACAGCGAGAAAUUGCUGCUAAUACCGGAUGAUGACGUAAGUCCAAAGAUGUAUCGCCCAAGGAUGAGCCCGCGUAGGAUUAGCUAGUUGGUGAGGUAAAGGCUCACCAAGGCGACGAUCCUUAGCUGGUCUGAGAGGAUGAUCAGCCACACUGGGACUGAGACACGGCCCAGACUCCUACGGGAGGCAGCAGUGGGGAAUAUUGGACAAUGGGCGAAAGCCUGAUCCAGCAAUGCCGCGUGAGUGAUGAAGGCCUUAGGGUUGUAAAGCUCUUUUACCCGGGAUGAUAAUGACAGUACCAGGAGAAUAAGCUCCGGCUAACUCCGUG
rnacentral:rRNA from 1 species